AACGCCGCGGAGCUGCUGCCGCCGCCGCAGCCGCCGCCGCAGCGAAGAGGCCAUGUUGUGUGGUGUGUGGGGCGGGGGGAGGAGGAGGAGGGAGUAAAGCUGAGAGAGGAGACGGGAGAGAGACACCACACACACACGGCACAAGAUGGCCGGAGAGGCAGCAGCACCCCGAGCUGUCAGGCGUUCCGCCGCGGCCGCGGGACCCGCCGGCUGGCGGGGAGCUGCGCCCGGGCGGCCCGCAGGCCUCGCGGGGGGCGAAGCGGCCGCGGCCGAGACGAGAUCGGCCGAGCGCCGGGGGGUCGGAUCUCCGCGGCAGAGGCGCCCGGAACGGCCGGGGCCCGCAACGCCCCAAGUGCCGCUGCGGCAGCGGCCGCGGAGGCUCCCCGGGGUCCCGGCGGCUCGACGCGGCGCGGGCGCCAGGCCCUGCGCGGGCAUCGCGUGCGGGCGACUUCGAGGCGCCGGCGGCUGCGCUCGGACCCGCCGAUGUUGAAAACGGCUGCGGGGAUCACCGGGGAGAAGGGACUUGCCGCCCCUGGAAAACCUUGAUGACGUGAAGGUAACUUACAAGAUUAAAAUAAAAUUUGGUUGAUGAUGGUUCUGAACAGAUACAGCUCUUUUAUUUGAGAAACCGUUUUGAAGACAGAGACCAUGGAGUUUUAUAUCUGAGGAUAAAGGAAAUCUUUGCAGAAGUCUGUAUUUUAUAUAGCAAAAAUGUGAAUCCUGAGACUGAAUCUCUAAAGGGCCUGUACAACGUAAUAGAUGUUGGUGGAAGCAUUUACACCCACAGCUUGAAGCGUCUCAAAUGGACCCUACCGCUGAGAAAUCAAGAUGGCAGUCCACUAUGGGGAAUAGAGGAAAAUGGAUUAAUACAAGAGUGCUGUGAUAAUACACAACCAAGACAGGGUUCAUUUAACAUGGAUUUCAUGAAAUGAAUGAAGACAAUAGGUUUCUUACCCAACACAGAUGGACAGUGAAUUUGACUUUCCAAAGACUUUUUGUAUCAUUAAACAAGCCCAUUUUUGACAUUUGGAGAUGAAAGAUGGCACGUUAACAGAGAUGAUAGUUUGUAUGUCUGGAAUUUUUUUCAAUUUGAUCUGUAUGAAUAUGACCUUGUGAAAUGUUAAUUUUAAUAAAAUUUCUAACACUUUAAAA